rnacentral:rRNA from 1 species
GACGAACGCUGGCGGCGUGCUUAACACAUGCAAGUCGAACGGAAAGGCCCUGCUUUUGUGGGGUUCUCGAGUGGCGAACGGGUGAGUAACACGUGAGUAACCUGCCCUUGACUUUGGGAUAACUUCAGGAAACUGGGGCUAAUACCGGAUAGGAGCUCCUGCUGCAUGGUGGGGGUUGGAAAGUUUCGGCGGUUGGGGAUGGACUCGCGGGUUAUCAGCUUGUUGGUGGGGUAGGGGUUUACCCAGGGUUUGACGGGUCGGCGGCAUGGGAGGGGGAACGGGGUCAAUGCGACUACGGGACGCAGCAGUCGGGAACGGGGGGCAAUGGGGGGGAGCAUGAUACAGUGAGCCGGAGUGUGUUGAGGGAGCGUCGGGGUCGUGAAGACGGUCUUUUGGGUGUAAACCGCAGUCGCUUGAGACGAAGCGGGAGUGACGGUAAUGGGUGAAGAAGCACCGGCUAACUACGUG